UCAGCCGCCGCGGUAAUACCAGCUCUCCGAGUGGUGUGGACGUUUAUUGGGCCUAAAGCAUCCGUAGCUGGCUGAACAAGUCCCCUGUUAAACCCACCGAUUUAAUCGUUGGCGUGCGGGGGAUACUGCCUGGCUAGGGGACGAGAGAGGCAGACGGUAUUCCCGGGGUAGGGGUGAAAUCCUAUAAUCCCGAGAAGACCACCAGUGGCGAAGGCUGUCUGCUAGAACGCGCCCGACGGUGAGGGAUGAAAGCUGGGGGAGCGAACCGGAUUAGAUACCCGGGUAGUCCCAGCUGUAAACGAUGCAGACUAGGUGUUUGGACGGCCACGUGCCGUUCUAGUGCCGCAGGGAAGCUGUUAAGUCUGCCGCCUGGGGAGUACGAUCGCAAGGUUGAAACUUAAAGGAAUUGGCGGGGGAGCACA
rnacentral:rRNA from 1 species